CACCCCUUCUCACCCACUCUCCCGGCCAUAGCUGCAUGACCCUCCUGCCUCUGCGAAUGUUCAGGUUUGCUGAGGAGCCACUUCCUGUCUCAUGGCACACUGCAGUCCAUACUGCCUCUUCUUCUGGGCGGUGGGCUUUGAACAGCUCUGGGAGUUGGCAUGGUUCUGAAGAAAGGCAGUGUGGUCUCUUCAUCAGCUUCAAAAAACCAUCACCACCUGCCAACAUCUGCUUAGUUUCCAUGGUGAUAAGAGCAUCUUCAACAAUCCUAAGUCCUCAGUCAAAUGUCCUGGGACAAACUGCAUGGGCACCCACUAAAGCCACUAUGCUCAGAGCUGAUGCCUGCACCAGGCAGUCAUCUGAGAGUGACACUGCUGAACAGGGGACAGACCAACCGCUUCAAGUUCCUGCCGCCUCGACCUUUCCUGCCGCCUCGACCUUUCUGACCUGAUUGAUGUCCCCUCGAGCUGUGGGCCAAAACAAGUCCUUUCUCCUUCAAGUUUUUUCCACCAGAGCCUUUUUUAUCACAUGAGUCUACCGCCUUAAAGAGAAGCCAGAGACGGAG